AAAUCCAGGUAUAACUUUUUAGUCCCCCCAAAACUUAACCACAAAUAGCCUACCAUUGACUGGAAGCCUUACUGAUAACAUAAACAGUUGCUCAACA